UACUUGGACUUGAUAGUUCUUUCUGGGUCAGCCUCUGCCUUCUAGCUUCUAAUGCUGUGGAGCCCUAAGCACUUGAAACUGACCAUUGGUUCAAAUCUCCCAGCAGGUCACUGAAAUUGGACUCGCUGCCCUAGACUUGGCAUCUUCUCUAACUAAGCCUCUGAGGUCCCAGCAUGUCUAGAGGAUGAGCACACUCAAGACCCUGGGUGAAGAUAAGAGGAAAAGGGAUCUCAAACUCCUGAGUUUGUAUUGCUGUGUGCUGGGUUCCCAGAGCUGACUCGAGGGAACCCCAUCUUGAAACAGGGUCUGUUGCUGCCUCAGAUCCCUUUUCUGAUGCCAUUCUUCCGGAACAUUUGAAGGAAGCAGAGCUGAAGGAAAUGAGGACUUGUAGAAUCUGGUUCUCUUCUGCAUCUCAAGACAGUGAUCAGAUGUAUUGUUGGCUAAUUGCUCUCAGCCAUUAGCUGGAAGAGAUACAUGGGGAGAAGGCUUUGGAGGUGCACAGAGAACCAG
rnacentral:lncRNA from 1 species